AUUGAACGCUGGCGGCAGGCUUAACACAUGCAAGUCGAGCGGGGGAAGGUAGCUUGCUACUGGACCUAGCGGCGGACGGGUGAGUAAUGCUUAGGAAUCUGCCUAUUAGUGGGGGACAACAUCUCGAAAGGGAUGCUAAUACCGCAUACGUCCUACGGGAGAAAGCAGGGGAUCUUCGGACCUUGCGCUAAUAGAUGAGCCUAAGUCGGAUUAGCUAGUUGGUGGGGUAAAGGCCUACCAAGGCGACGAUCUGUAGCGGGUCUGAGAGGAUGAUCCGCCACACUGGGACUGAGACACGGCCCAGACUCCUACGGGAGGCAGCAGUGGGGAAUAUUGGACAAUGGGCGCAAGCCUGAUCCAGCCAUGCCGCGUGUGUGAAGAAGGCCUUAUGGUUGUAAAGCACUUUAAGCGAGGAGGAGGCUACUUUAGAUAAUACCUAGAGAUAGUGGACGUUACUCGCAGAAUAAGCACCGGCUAACUCUGUGCCAGCCGCCGCAGUAAUAC
rnacentral:rRNA from 1 species